UCCAGCCCCAGUUUGAAAGUCUUCAUAACUCUUUUCCUUAAAAAUAUUUCUCGCCUCUCCCUCUCCCCCUCCCCCUCCCCCUCUCCCUCUCCCCACGGUCUCCCUCUCCCUCUCUUUCCAGGGUCUCCCUCUGAUGCCCAGCCGAAGCUGGACUGUACUGCUGCCAUCUCGGCUCACUGCAACCUCCCCGCCUGAUUCUCCUGCCUCAGCCUGCAGAGUGCCUGCCAUUGCAGGCACGCGCCGCCACGCCUGACUGGUUUUCGUAUUUUUUUGGUGGAGAUGGGGUUUCGCUGUGUUGGCCGGGCUAGUCUCCAGCUCCUAACCGCGAGUGAUCCGCCAGCCUCGGCCUCCGGAGGUGCCGGGAUUGCAGACGGUGUCUGGUUCAAUCAGUGCUCAAUGGUGCCCAGGCUGGAAUGCAGUGGCGUGAUCUCGGCUCGCUACAACCUCCACCUCCCAGCCACCUGCCUUGGCCUCCCAAAGUGCCGAGAGUGCAGCCUCUGCCCGGCCGCCACCCCGUCUGGGAAGUGAGGAGCGUCUCUGCCUGGCCGCCUAUCGUCUGGGACGUGAGGAGCCCCUCUGCGUGGCUGCCCAGUCUGGAAAGUGAGGAGCGUCUCUGCCCGGUCGCCAUCCCAUCUAGGAAGUGAGGAGCGCCUCUUCCCGGCCGCCAUCCCAUCUAGGAAGUGAGGAGCAUCUCUGCCUGGCCGCCCUUCUUCUGAGAUGUGGGGAGCGCCUUUGCCCCACCGCCCUGUCUGGGAUGUGAGGAGCGCCUCUGCCAGGCCGCGACCCCGUCUGGGAGGUGAGGAGCGUCUCUGCCCAGCCGCCCCGUCUGAGAAGGGAGGAGACCCUCCGCCCGGCAACCGCCCCGUCUCAGAAGUGAGGAGCCCUUCCACCCGGCAGUCACCCCGUCUGGGACGUGAGGAGCGUCUCCGCCAGGCAGCCACCCCGUCCGGGAGGGAGGUGGGGGUCAGCCCCCACCAGGCCAGCCGCCCCGUCCGGGAGGGAGGUGGGGGGGGAUCAGCCCCCUGCCCGGCCAGCCGCCCCGUCCGGGAGGAAGGUGGGGGGGCCAGCCCCCCGCCCGGCUAGCCGCCCCGUCUGGGAGGUGAGGGGCGCCUCUGCUCAGCCGCCCCUACUGGGAAGUGAGGAACCCCUCUACCCGGCCAGCCGCUCCGUCCGGGAGGGAGGUGGGGGGGUCAGACCGGCCAGCCGCCCCGUCCGGGAGGGAGGUGGGGGGGUCAGCCCCCCGCCCGGCCAGCCGCCUCGUCCGGGAGGUGAGGGGCGCCUCUGCCCGGCCACCCCUACUGGGAAGUGAGGAGCCCCUCUGCCCGGCCAGCCGCCCCGUCCGGGAGGGAGGUGGGGGGGUCAGCCCCCCGCCUGGCCAGCCGCCACGUCCGGGAGGGAGUUAGGGGGGUCAGCCCCCUGCCCAGCCAGCCCCCUCGUCCCGGGGGGUGAGGGGCGCCUCUGCCGGGCCGCCCCUACUGGGAAGUGAGGAGCCCCUCUGCCCGGCCAGCCGCCCCGUCCGGGAGGGAGGUGGGGGGGGUCAGCCCCCCGCCCGGCCAGCUGCCUCGUCCGGGAGGUGAGGGGCGCCUCUGCCCGGCCGCCCCUACUGGGAAGUGAGGAGCCCCUCUGCCCGGCCACCACCCCGUCUGGGAGGUGUACCCAACAGCUCAUUGAGAACCGGCCAUGAUGACAAUGGCGGUUUUGUGGAAUAGAAAGGGGGGAAAUGUGGGGAAAAGAUUGAGAAAUCGGAUGGUUGCCGUGUCUGUGUGGAAAGAAGUAGACAUGGGAGACUUUUCAUUUUGUUCUGUACUAAGAAAAAUUCUUCUGCCUUGGGAUCCUGUUGAUCUGUGACCUUACCUCCAACCCUGUGCUCUCUGAAACAGGUGCUGUGUCCACUCAGGGUUAAAUGGAUUAAGGGUGGUGCAAGAUGUGCUUUGUUAAACAGAUGCUUGAAGGCAGCAUGCUCGUUAAGAGUCAUCACCACUCCCUAAUCUCAAGUACCCGGGGACACAAACACUGAGGAAGGCCGCAGGGUCCUCUGCCUAGGAAAUCCAGAGACCUUUGUUCACUUGUUUAUCUGCUGACCUUCCCUCCACUAUUGUCCUAUGACCCUGCCAAAUCCCCCUCUGUGAGAAACACCCAAGAAUGAUCAAUAAAAAAAAAUAAUAAUAAUUAAAAAAAAUAUUUCUCACCUGGGCGUGGUGGCUCACGCCUGUAAUCCUAGUACUUUGGGAGGCUGAGGUAGGCAGAUCAUGAGGUCAGGAGUUCGAGACCAGACUGGCCAACAUGGUGAAACGCCGUCUCUUCCAAAAAUACAAAAAUUAGCAGGGCGUGGUGGCACACGCCUGUAGUCCCAGCUAUUCAGGCAGACAGCUGAGGCAAUAGAAUAGCUUGAACCGGGAGGUGGAGGUUGCAGUGAGCCGAGAUUGUGCCACUGCACUCCAGCCCGGGUGACAGAGCGAGACUCUGUCUCAAAAAAUAAAAAUAAUAAAUAAAUAAAAUUCCCAUUUUUUGAUCAAAUGAAAAAAAAAAUCUACAAAGUAGAAAACCCCAAAAACCAUAACACUAGAUAAUAGUUGACCACUAAUGCCUGAAAUGAUUAUCAUGAGCGAUUAUUUCUUUGGGUCUAGAAGGCCUUUGUGUAGAUGAGCGACCACUAUGACCAAUUCACUCCUUGCCUACCAUCCAGACACCUUAGCCUCACUGCCAACAAGCUAAGAGAUGCUGGCUGAGUAAGGGCCUACUCUGGCUUAUAAGGACCCCUGCAGCUCCAGUGAUUUAUAAUUCUAAGUAAACUAACACUUUAAAGAGAUGAGUCAAGAGCUGCUUGAUGGAAAAUCACUCCAGGCAAAGGAUACUGAGUGCAAAGGAAUGACGGGGGCAUACAUGGCUGGAGCAGGAUGAUGAUAUGAAUCACAGGCGAUAACAUCAAGGAGGUGGUGUGUGUGUGUGGAUGGGGAAGAGGGGACAGGAUGUGUAAACCUUUGAUAGAUUUUGGUUUUCACUCAGAGGGAAGUGGAAAGCACUUUAGUAUUUUUGUUUUCUUUUCCUUUUUUUGUUCUUGGAGCAAAAAAUGGAGUGUUGCUCUUGUUGCCCAGGCUGGAGUGCAAUGGUGCCAUCUCGGCUCACCACAACCUCCGCCUCCCAGGUUCAAGUGAUUGAACAGCCUCCCGAGUAGCUGGGAUUCCAGGUGCCCGACACCACACAUGGCUAAAUUCUUUUGUAUUUUUAGUAGAGACAGGGUUUGGCCAUGUUGGCCAGGCUGGUCUCAAACUCCUGAUCUCAGGUGAUCUGCCUGCCUCGGCCUCCCAAAGUGCUAGGAUUACAGGCAUGAGCCACUGUACCCAGCCUAAUUUUCAUUUUAUAAUUUUUUUUUUUUUUGAGACAGAGUCUUGCUCUGUUGCCCAGGCUGGAGUGCAGUGGCACAAUCUCUGGUCACUGCAACCUCCGCCUCCAGGACUCAAGCGAUUGUCCUGCCUCAGCCUCCGGAGUAGCUGGGAUUAUAAGCCUGUGCCACCACGUCUGGCUAAUUUUUAGUAGAGAUGGGGUUUCACCAUGUUGGCCAGGCUGGUCUCGAACUCCUGACCUCAAGUGAUCUGCCUGCCUUGGCUUCCCAAAGUGCUGGGAUUACAGGUGUGAGCCA
rnacentral:lncRNA from 1 species